UGUCUACAUCUGGAAUGAUUCCUAUUUGUUCUUCCAGUCUCAGCCUAAAUGUAAUUUCUUGAGACGGGUUCCCUGGCCCCUUAAUCUAAAUUAGGUCCCUCAAGUUUCAUCAUACUCUACAUGAUUCUUUAUAUUAUUUAUUAAAAUUCAUAAUCGUGUAUUCACUCAUGUAUUUGAAUGUGUUUCCCCACUGGACUGAAAUCUCCCUGAAGAAAGGAACUUGUUUGCUUGGUUCCCCAUUGAGUGAGAGGAGCAUACAGCCCAGUGACUGGUAUCUAGGUCCCCUUUGGGCGAGCUCUAACCAAACCAGAUGGUGAUGUGGCUUCUGAAAUGCACUUAGUUUAACCAACUUGACACAGCACCAGCCACCACAACUAUCCUAACAGGAAACUGUUCAAGUUACCUGCAAAGAACACAAGUUCUCUCUCACCUUUGGACGUUCUCUCCAAGUCCGCUGAACAAUGGCUUCAAAACUAAAGACUGUUUCAUCUGGGAGAGAAGUUGAAUGGAUAUGUGAGUUUAGUGUAAGCCUGAUUCAAAAUCUGGAAUAUGCCAAAGCAUGGGCCCUGCUCACUCACAGAAAGCCCUAUUCCCAGAAGGCUGGAGCUUUCCUGUUUCUGGUGACUCAGGAAAAAGCGAUGUCCAAACAUGAACAUGGCAGUACUGUGGCUGUGAUACAGUGACUCACAGAAAUGUGGGUGGAGCAGCUGAAGGCGGUGCAGAAGGAAGGCCUGUUCCUGCCCCUCUUAGGUCACAUGCUACCUGCAUUGAGGAGUCAGGGAAGGCGGUGCAUUUGUUAAGAGAGAAGGUGAAGCAAAGAGCUGAAACCAGACUGCCGGGCCAGAUUCUUUCUCCAGAUCUCUAGCUGUGUCUUUCACAGAAAGAAAAAGGUUUAUGUAACUUACUAUAUCACAAUCAGAAAAGGAAAAAAAGCAAAGGUUAUAAAUUACCUGCCUCUUUUUUUUCCCUUCAGAAAAACUCAACCUUCUGUAGAGUUUAUAGACUCUUUAUUAAGGUUUUAGCCAUUUGAUUAUCCAAGAAGUCUAAGGAAAUAAAAAAUGAAAAGAUAAAAGAAAGUAGAAAAGUUAGAGAAAAUGAUGGGGUUGAGGAAUGGGGCAGAAGGAGCAGGCAGAAGUAACGUGCAUGUUUUAGAAUUGUGUGACCAUCUAAUGCUUCAUUCAUAUAGAGUGUCCAUGCCUGUAAACUCUUAAAGGAAAACUUAAUGGCCGGAUCCAGAUAUAUGUAACUGUGCAGAAGCUCAAUACCAGGAUUUUUUGGUUCUUCCUUAAAAAAUAAUUUAUAUGAAAGAGAUUAUAUAUGUCCAUUGUGGGAGAAUUAAGUUCAAGGAUGAAUUUUAAAAAGACAACAAAGAAAUUUCUCCACAUUGUAGCCAACACUUAGGAUCUCCAAACAAACAUUUUUUCCAAUUGAUGGAUGAUAACUAAAUUUAUGUCACCUGCUAAGGAGAUUGAC